GUACCAUAACCGACACAGGUGGGUAGGUAGAGUAUACUAAGGGGCGCGAGAUAACUCUCUCUAAGGAACUCGGCAAAAUGACUCCGUAACUUCGGGAGAAGGAGUGCCUUAUUUAUAAGGUUGCAAUAACAAGAUCCAAGCAACUGUUUAUCAAAAACACAGGUCUCCGCUAAGUCGUAAGACGAUGUAUGGGGGCUGACGCCUGCCCAGUGCCAGAAGGUUAAAGAAGUUGGUUAGUGUAUGCGAAGCUGAUGACUGAAGCCCUGGUGAACGGCGGCCGUAACAAUAACGGUCCUAAGGUAGCGAAAUUCCUUGUCGGGUAAGUUCCGACCCGCACGAAAGGCGUAAUGAUUUGGAUACUGUCUCGGAGAGAGGCUCGGUGAAAUAGACUUGUCUGUGAAGAUGCGGACUACCUGCACCAGGACAGAAAGACCCUAUGAAGCUUUACUGUAACUUGAAAUUGGAAUUGGACUUUGCUUGCGCAGUAUAGGUGGGAAGCGUUGAAGAUAUUCUUGCGGGAGUAUUGGAGCUAUCAGUGAGAUACCACUCUUGUAAUGUUAGAUUUCUAACUUUGAACCAUAAUCUGGUCAAAGAACAGUUUCAGGUGGGCAGUUUGACUGGGGCGGUCGCCUCCCAAAUGGUAACGGAGGCGUACAAAGGUUUCCUCUGAACGGAUAGAAAUCGUAUCUAGAGUGUAAAGGCAUAAGGAAGCUUGACUGUGAGACCUACAAGUCGAGCAGGGACGAAAGUCGGUCUUAGUGAUCUGACGGUACUGAGUGGAAAGGCCGUCACUCAACGGAUAAAAGUUACUCUAGGGAUAACAGGCUGAUCUCCCCCAAGAGUUCACAUCGACGGGGAGGUUUGGCACCUCGAUGUCGGCUCAUCGCAUCCUGGGGCGGUAGUACGUCCCAAGGGUUGGGCUGUUCGCCCAUGAAAGCGGUACGCGAGCUGGGUUCAGAACGUCGUGAGACAGUUCGGUCCAUAUCCGGUGUAGGCGUUAGAAUAUUGAGAGGAGCCUUCUUUAGUACGAGAGGACCGAGAAGGACACACCGCUGGUGUACCAGUUAUCGUGCCAACGGUAAACGCUGGGUAGCUAUGUGUGGAGUGGAUAACCGCUGAAAGCAUCUAAGUGGGAAGCCCACCUCAAGAUGAGUAUUCUGGUGUAAGGUCACGGGAAGACGACCCGUAAAUAGGCACGAGGUGGAAGUGCAGAGAUGUAUGAAGCCGAAGUGUACUAAUAGACCGUCGGCUUG
rnacentral:rRNA from 1 species